rnacentral:lncRNA from 1 species
AUGUUGAGAAUUUUCUCAUGUGUUUGUUGGCAAACUUUAUGUCUCCUUUUGAGAAGUGUCUGUUCAUGUCCUUUGCCCACUUUUCAAUGGGAUUAUUUGGUGUUUUUGCUUGCUGAUUUGUUUAAGUUCCUUAUAGAUUCUGGAAAUCAGACCUUUGUCAGAUGCACAGUUUGCAAAUACUUUCUCCCCUUCUGUAGGCUGUCUGUUUACUCUGUUGAUAUUUUAAUAGUUUCUUUUGCUGUGCGGAGGUCCCAUUUGUCUAUUUUUUAUUUUGUUGCAUUUGCUUUUGGGUUCUUCAUCACGAAUUCUGAAAGACAUUCUUUUAAAAACAAACUCUCAGGCAUGCCAGUGGCAACUGUGCCCCUGAAGGGGUGGUGGCCCACGCACAGCUUCCGUCCCCCGUCAGUCCACGCACAGCUUCCGUCCCCCGUCAGUCCACGCACAGCUUCCGUCCCCCGUCAGUCCACGCACAGCUUCCGUCUCCCGUCAGUCCGGUACUCCAGCAGCGGUGAAAAUCUCCUCAGUUCUUGUCUGUUCCAUCAGGCCAGCCCACCAUCUGAGCCCCAAACUCGAGUGCUCACCCUGCAGCCCGGGUUGGGAUGUCUGUGCUCCAGGCUGGAGACCAUAGUGAACCUCCGCACAGAUGUGCCUCCACCACCAGCUGUGUGCCAGCUGCUCUGUAGCCCCUGGGAUUCACAGCAGUGCAGGCCCCACUGAUGUGCCCACCUCUUGCCUGGGCAGGGGGGUGCUUCCGGCUCAUGGACACCUUGGAGAACCUCAAGAGUCACCCCGUCUCUGUCCCUUUGGUUUCCUGGAUGAGGCAGACAGCACGCCCCUGCACAUACCUGUCUGCCCUGAGCCCACUCCUCACCUUCCCACCUGGCCCUGAUGGAGGAACAAGCUGAGCUGGAAGCUGCACCUCAGGCUUUGGAGUCCCUCAAGAGACCUCACCCCUGCUGCAGGUCCCUAGUCCAGGGAAGAGGGAUGAGCCCAUGGGGCCAGCCCAGGCCCCCGCCCCACCCCACCACCCACUUCCUGAUGUGCCCGGUGCUGUUUGGGCCCCAGGGAGGAGGAGGAGCUCCUUGAAAACAGUGGUUACGGCUCCCGUCACCCGCGACGUGGGACUUUGGACAAGUUAUGUAUGCCUGGAGCCUCACCUGUCUGCUGGGCGCCUCACACCUGCCCACGGGGCCUCCAUGAGGAUAAUGUGAGGAGCUCCAUGCGCUGCCUGGCACAGGGGGAGCCUCAUAAUGGGUGAGGUCAUUGUAAGAAUUAAAGAAUGGAAACACACACACAACUCUCCCUCUCAAAUAAGCACAGCAAAAAAACACAGAAGCAGUCCAAGCUUCUAAUAAACUCUCCCACCCUAAAUCCUUAAAAACUCUUAGUCCAUAAAAGAGUGCGCUCUGACCUAACUCAGCCAGCCGCCCCUCUCAGGUUUGUUUAAAAUAAACCUGUCCCUGUUGACUGUACAGCCACCCUUCGUGUUUCUCACCUCUUUCUUUAAUUAUUACAGUCAUAGUCUCUUGCCGGGCAAGACAGGCACGUGUCUUCAGGAAACAACAUGUGUGCUGGGUAGUGUGACUUCCCCGAGUGCAGGAGCAGUGACCCAGUCCCCUUCUCCCCACAGCGCCACCUCAGUCCCUCAGUCACAUCUAGGUGGCUUAUCUUCAGCAAGGUGUAAACUGGCCACAACCACCAGCCGCUGAGGACCUCUCUCCCCUCUUGAGAGAUGUCAGGGUCCCUUUCCCAGCGCCCCUGGCUGUGCAGCCCUGACGUCCCCACUCACAGCAGGAUGCCCACCACGGCCCCAUCAGCCAGGCUCCUGGCCUUCACCAACCACCCAGCCGGGCUGGCUCUGUGACGUCAGCAGCGAAGAAGACACAGUCCCUGAACGUGGAAUCACAACUGAGAGGGAGGGACCGCUGGCCACGUGGGCUGCCUGUGGCCCCUCAGAGCCCUCAGCACCCACGGCAUUUCCAAGCAAGUCUGGCUAUAGCAGUUGGAAGCUAUGCUCUGCCUAGCCCAUCGCAUGACCCCUGGAGGGGCUGCCCCCUCCUCGGCCAACUCAAGGCAGGCUGGCACCUCCCUCCAAGGCUCCUGCCCUCCAAAUCCAAGGACGCUGCUUCCUGGGAAGGACAGGACCUGCUCAUCCCCUCCCCAUGGAGGGGGCUUGAGGAGCCAGGUGUCUAGAAGGGGCUGAGGCUUCUCAAAGCUGGCACUGACUCCUCCAGAUGAGCUCCCCUCUCUUGCUGCCUCCCCUCAGUGCAGGGGUGGUGAGGAGAUCACAGGCUCACAGAGAGCCCAGCCGACAACCCCUUCGUCAGCCCCUGCACACUGCGGAUCACAUCACGGGCGCAGAACAUGAAGCUCUGUUCAGGGGGGCAUUCCUCGCCUAGCAGCAAAGGCAAGCCCGUCCCCCAGGUGUGGAUGCAGGGUCCUGGGGCAGCCUCCCCGUCUCCCUGCCCAUGUGGUCCUAGGCACUGUACAUCCAUUUUUGCUACCUACCCUAGCCCUGGGGAAAGGAG